AGCUUGAACAGUCUGUUGGUUUCCAUGGCAAUUACACAAAUGUCAGAAUAUUGCCCCAGAAUUCAGCUCUAUAAAGGAAACCUCACACGUUCCCAUGUAAACAUGCAAAAUGUUUUUGGGAAGCCCAAUAUUUCAGUGAGGCGUUGGAGAAGGUAUGUGGCCUUCAAGAGAUGAUUAACGAUCUUGGCUUGAAUUUCUGACCAUACUGAUCCCCUCACUCUUAUUAUAUACCCUAAAAAUCACAACCAUGGAAUCUAAACAUAAAUGUGGGUUUGAAAGAGACAGUGUCUGGGUAACAAAAGCAUUCCAGCCAACGUCAAAAAUUACAUUCUUUCAGUGGACUUCAACAGUUUUAAAAGCUCCUUUAGUUCACUAAAGACCAACCAAGAGGGGGGAGCACCAGGGCAAAUACCCCCUAGUCGGCUAACUAGGAUUUUACUUUAAUGCAUUAUUAAAAAUUGAUUAUGGAGCUGCCAUUCACUAGAGUGUACCACAUGAGUAUCUAGGUUUAAGACCGUGGACAGACCACGGAAAGUUUUAGAAACUCAUCUUUUCAUUUUUUUUUUUACCUGUUCGGUUGCAUUUGCCCUCAAAAUCCUGGUAGGUUUCAGAAUGAAACCAAAAAUAUACCCCCCAAACCACAAAUAAGCACUACUCUACUCGGAGGUGGCGCUCACAUAAUGCAGAGUCCAUGGACAAUGCCCCCAUAGUGGGAUAAUAACACAUACAAUCUGUAUAUUAGCCAGGAGCUAGAAAAUACCCCUUCAGUGCAUCUAGAAGCAUUACACAGAUA